rnacentral:rRNA from 1 species
AACGAACGCUGGCGGCAGGCUUAACACAUGCAAGUCGAACGGGUGUAGCAAUACAUCAGUGGCAGACGGGUGAGUAACACGUGGGAACCUUCCUAGGGGUACGGAACAACUCAGGGAAACUUGAGCUAAUACCGUAUACGUCCGUAAGGAGAAAGAUUUAUCGCCCUUAGACGGGCCCGCGUCGGAUUAGGUAGUUGGUGGGGUAACGGCCUACCAAGCCGACGAUCCGUAGCUGAUCUGAGAGGAUGAUCAGCCACACUGGGACUGAGACACGGCCCAGACUCCUACGGGAGGCAGCAGUGGGGAAUCUUGGACAAUGGGCGCAAGCCUGAUCCAGCCAUGCCGCGUGAGUGAAGAAGGCCUUAGGGUUGUAAAGCUCUUUUACCAGGGACGAUAAUGACGGUACCUGGAGAAUAAGCCCCGGCAAACUUCGUG